ensembl:lncRNA
GGGGGGGGGGGAAGGGGGGAGGGAGAAUGACUCAAACAUAUUUGUUUGAAGAGGAGUUUUCAGCUUUUAUCCCUGAUUCAAGGCAGGACAUCUCCCACCAGGUGACACCUGCCGUGCCCAGGUCUCACUCGCAGCAUCUCCCCUCACUGGAAGCUCAGCACGGCGUCAGCAUCAACCAAUUCAAGCUAUCCACAAGCAGAGGGCAUGUCCAGUCUGAUGGCCUACCUCAUCAUCCACCUGAACACAGAAAUGUUCCCGUUUCAAUUGGAGGUCACUUGGAACAGACACAACCCCAUGGGAAGCAUAGCUCCAGCAUCACCUCCUCCCUUGGACAAGGUGACCAAGGGGCCUUCCAGGGGAUCUCAGCUCACUUCCAGGCUCAGGGCCUACCUCUGCUGACCCUUUGCUUCCUCCCACCUCUCGCGGUGUGUACGUGCCAUCUGCUGGCAAGCUGCAGGAAGGAGAAUGCGCUCAAAACGCCUUUUGCUACGACAGAGCAAAGCAGAGGGGUUGGAGGAGCAGCCAGGUUAAAUUUGGCCAUAUGCACCAAACCUGCACAGCCUACAUCUCAUCUCCCAUCAUAAGAGUUAGUUCCUUACCAGCACGGCUGGUGGUCAACACAUUGCCAUGAGGCUGUUUUCUGCUGGAAGCAGCGAUUUCCCUCUGUUGAGCAUUCUGAUUUCUUGUUGUGAGAGCAGAAAACUCAGAAGCUGCAAGGUCCAGCGUUCAAAACUGCCCUUGUCUUUCAGUUGUGGUUUUAUCCACCUCGUAUUUUCCCAUUCUUUCCUCAUUUCCCCCUUCGCCACUCCCCAUUCCUGCAGUGCAGUGCGGUGAUGGUUCCAUCCAAAAUGAUGCAUGUAGAUUUACAUGCGUUGGGUGUUUUUUUUUUUUAGUGCACAAAGUUGGUUGGCAGCACCCAAGUGUGAGCUGCCUUUCUGAAGAUGCAGCAAGAGAAAACAGAGCGAAAUGCAGGAGAUGAUUUUCCAUUUGGUAUCGAGCAGGGAGAAGGCACAUAAAGAGACCCCCACAUAGAGCAGCCGUGCAAGGCCAUGCAUCACUUAUGCCUUACUUGAAGGUAUUAAAUAAGACUUCACUAGAACACAGCUCUGGUGCUGACCCUCUGCAGAUGGGUGAAUUGCACCCUAAAGCAAAUAUAGGGAACUUGUAUUAUUCAACAGCUGCUGCUAAUAGGGUUACUGCAGGCGGAGAUGUUGCCUGUCUCGACUGAGGAGCAGACGCUGGCCUCAGUGACUCCUGUUUGCAUAAUUAUACUGUAAAUUCUGUCCCGCUGUGUCUGUAUAAUUACGUUUUUAAAUAAG